rnacentral:ncRNA from 1 species
AAGAGCCGGAUGGUGGAAAUCUCCUUGUCCGGUUCUGGUGGGGGCCCGGGCUGAGCGAUCAGCCCGGGCUACCCGAC